rnacentral:rRNA from 1 species
UCUGGCGGCCAUAGCGGCGGGGCAAUUCCUGUACCCUUUCCGUACACAGAAGAUAAGUCCUCCAGCGUUCCAUAUUGUACUGAAGUACGCGAGUCUUCGGGAACUACGGAUCGCUGCCAGCU